ensembl:lncRNA
AGUCGGCUCCCGGCAUAAAAUGGAUGAGCGGUCCUGCGUUUUGAAAAGACGUGGUCCUGCCGGGGGACUUGGACAGGUCUUAUUCAACUCGCGGUCGCCGUGGUCACCACUGAUUGCCCCAAUGGAUGAAUAAUUCAUGUCUCCCGCUCGGUGUGGACUCUCAACCCUCGCUGUGUUUUUUUUUUUUCUUUGCUGUGCACUUUUUCCACCCAGUGGCGUGAUCCGCUCCCUCCCAGUCCAUCAGGGGCAGCGGAAAAGGCCAGCGCGGGCGGUGUGGAUUGAACCCAACAAGCGCGCUCGCCACGCGGCGUCUCUCCUGUAAUAAAGCCGAGAUUGAAACGUUUUCAUUUCCUGCGCCGUGGCUCCGCUCAGACAAAAGGUCUCCGACACUCACAGACAACACACGCGCGCUUUAAAAAUUUUUUUUUUUUUACUGUAACCUUUUGACAUGUUUUGUUCUGUGCCUUGAUGGUGGAAGGAGAAAAAGAAAAGGAGUCAUGCGCGACGCCGCCGUGCGCCCUCUCUUUCGGUUGUGAGGAAAUGCGGAACGUUAGGUGCUCCUCAUGAUGCACAUCACCCGAAUGUCAAAUUAGAUCAGCAGUGAUCUCAGACCGGAAAGAAAACAUUGCAUAACCAACGCCCCGUGUCCUCUCCCUCUCACGAGGACGGGGAUCACAUCGCGCUCUCGCUGCCUCGGCCAAGUGGUAGUCCACCCAAUUAUCCAGAGAGCGCUCGCGGCGCAGACUUGAGAAGCGUGUGCCAUGGCGGGAGACUUCGCCCA